rfam:Solanum tuberosum cultivar DM 1-3 516 R44 scf00582_20, whole genome shotgun sequence.
AUUCCAUGAGUUGGACACUGCUGCAAUAAGGCCUUAAAUCUAUUCCACAACUCAUAAAUACUCUCACCAUCCAAUUGCUUGAAAGUUAGGAUGUCAUCCCUAAGAAU